GCGUAUCAAUAAGCGGAGGAAAAGAAACUAACAAGGAUUCCCCUAGUAACGGCGAGUGAAGCGGGAAGAGCUCAAAUUUGAAAUCUGGUGGCCUCAGGUCAUCCGAGUUGUAAUCUAUAGAAGUGUUUUCCGUGCUGGCUCAUGUACAAGUCCCUUGGAACAGGGCGUCAUAGAGGGUGAGAAUCCCGUCCUUGACAUGAACUACCAGUGCUCUGUGAUACAUUUUCAACGAGUCGAGUUGUUUGGGAAUGCAGCUCAAAAUGGGUGGUAAAUUCCAUCUAAAGCUAAAUAUUGGCGAGAGACCGAUAGCGAACAAGUACCGUGAGGGAAAGAUGAAAAGCACUUUGGAAAGAGAGUUAAACAGUAUGUGAAAUUGUUGAAAGGGAAACGAUUGAAGUCAGUCGUGCUCUUUGGAUUCAGCCGGUUCUGCCGGUGUACUUCCUUUGAGUGGGGUCAACAUCAGUUUUGAUCGCUGGAUAAAGGCUGGAGGAACGUAGUACCCUCGGGUAAACUUAUAGCCUCCUGUCACAUACAGUGGUUGGGACUGAGGAACGCAGCACGCCUUUAUGGCCGGGAUUCGUCCACGUACGUGCUUAGGAUGUUGACAUAAUGGCUUUAAACGACCCGUCUUGAAACACGGACC
rnacentral:rRNA from 1 species